rnacentral:rRNA from 1 species
AUUGAACGCUGGCGGCAGGCCUAACACAUGCAAGUCGAACGAGUGGCGGACGGGUGAGUAAUGUCUGGGAAACUGCCUGAUGGAGGGGGAUAACUACUGGAAACGGUAGCUAAUACCGCAUACCAUCAGAUGUGCCCAGAUGGGAUUAGCUAGUUGGGGGGGUAACGGCUCACCAAGGCGACGAUCCCUAGCUGGUCUGAGAGGCGGACCGGCAAAACUGGAACUGAAAAAGGUUCCAGACUCCUAGGGGGGGAAGCAGUGGGGAAGAUUGAACAAGGGGGGCAAGCCUGAUGCAGCCAUGCCGGGUGUAUGAAGAAGGCUUUCGGGUGUAAAGUACUUUCAGCGGGGAGGCGUUACCCGCAGAAGAAGCACCGGCUAACUCCGUGCCAGCAGCCGCGGUAAUAC